rnacentral:rRNA from 1 species
UACGAAGGGGGCUAGCGUUGCUCGGAAUCACUGGGCGUAAAGCGCACGUAGGCGGCUUGUUAAGUCAGGGGUGAAAUCCUGGAGCUCAACUCCAGAACUGCCUUCGAUACUGUAGAGCUCGAGUUCGGGAGAGGUGAGUGGAACUGCGAGUGUAGAGGUGAAAUUCGUAGAUAUUCGCAAGAACACCAGUGGCGAAGGCGGCUCACUGGCCCGAUACUGACGCUGAGGUGCGAAAGCGUGGGGAGCAAACAGG